rnacentral:lncRNA from 1 species
AUUAAAAAAAUUUGGCUUUCAAGAUUCUAUGCUCAAAUGGAUAAAAACUAUGUAUACAGAUAUUAAAAGCUCAGUGAUCAAUAAUGGGUGGAUAUCUGAACCCCUCAACAUUUUUCGAGGGAUUAGACAAGGAUGUCCGUGCAGUGCUUUAAUUUUUGUUAUUGCUGUCGAGAUAUUAGCAUGUAGAAUAAGACAAGACAAUAAUAUUAAAGGAUUUGAAAUCAAAAUAGAUGGGAAAACACAUUCUUUAAAAAUCAGUCAACUUGCAGAUGAC